GGGGACACCCGACUCCAGGCCAAGAUACUUUGAGGGCCACAUACUGUGAGGGUCCCCAACAUGGUCUGGAUGGUGCUUCUUCUUGGGCUCCUUGCAUAUGGCUCAGGAGCAGAUUAUCAGGCUGUGUUGAUCCAGGAGCCAUCCCUGUCAGUGUCUCCAGGAGGGACAGUCACACUCACUUGUGGCCUCAGAUCUUUCUCAGUCUCUGCAAGCAACACCUGUCGCUGGUUCCAGCAGACCCCAGGCCAAGCCCCCUGCAUGCACAUCUACAGCACAAGCCACCACCCCUCUGGUGUCUCUGAGCACUUCUGUGGAUCCAUCUCUGGGAACAAAGCCAUCCUCACUACCACGAUGGUCCAGUGUGAGGAUGAGGCCGACUAUUGCUGUUUGCUGUCUGUGGGUGGUGGUCUUUACACAGUGAUUUAAAUCCAUGAGGAAGUGCAGCCAGAACCUCCCCAAGUGCUCAGAAUGGCUCAGCCUCAG